rnacentral:rRNA from 1 species
CAAACGACUCUCGGCAACGGAUAUCUCGGCUCACGCAUCGAUGAAGAACGUAGCAAAAUGCGAUACUUGGUGUGAAUUGCAGAAUCCCGUGAACCAUCGAGUUUUUGAACGCAAGUUGCGCCCGAAGCCAUUUGGUUGAGGGCACGUCUACCUGGGCGUCACGC